rnacentral:rRNA from 1 species
AUGGCACCAUCAGCAUCCACUGGUCAGAAAGUCAACCUGAAGGGGUACAAGACCCUACCCCAUGCUAUUCAGCUGGUAACGAUGAUGUCGGGGACGUCUUCAGCUUCAACAUUGACGAUUGGGGACCAGAACAAGAAGUUCAAGGUGAGCCGUGCUUUGACGUGGAUGGUGGUUAUCUGCAUACCGGCUACUUUCAUUGCCGUCACAGCAGGUUCGGCCUACAGGAUGUAUAACAAACCCAUCUGGGCCGCCGGCUUCCCAUCGAGGCUGCCAGUUGUCUUGAUGUUGGGAGCUUACCUGGCAGUGGUGAACCUGGCGCUGGGGUACUUGACCCUCUACUUGCCACAGGCACCCUUCGCUGUGUGGAAAGCUCUGGAUGAUGUUGGUCUCAGGUUGAUUGGCCUUGCCGUUAUCUUAAUCUCUGGCCCUGUUUUGUUGUCUGCCCAGGCGUGGCUGCACAUCAUCUGGGCUUGCCUUCUUGGCGUCCUCAUUGCUGCCAUCCUUGCCUUCUGUGUCUGUCUUGCUCGGACGUACAGCAAGUAG